AAGCGGCGCGGAGAGACGGGGGGCCAUUUUUGGUGAAUUUUGGAGCCCCAUUGUGAAACAUCAGGGGAGAGGCCGAGGGGUCAGAUAUUGGAGGACGCUAUUUAAAAACCAGAGAUCAUCUUCUGCUGAAGGAGGAGGUUUGCUCGAGACUGUAAAGAAGAAUCCAGCCGUACGGCACGGGCGCAGGAAAGAAACUGUAGUAUCUUUUCCCCCAAAACCCUCAGCCACAGCCUCUGCUCUGGCUGCGGCUGAGUUGUGCUGCAUCAGGUGCUGCCUAGAAAAGCUUUAUUUUGUCAUCUGUGUCAGUGAUGCCAAUCGAUGUACGUCUCUCUUUCCCACAUGCCUGGUUCUGGUACCUUGGUGAAAAGGUAUGAGCCAGACAGGUGAAGAAUUGUGAGAAGGGGAGAAGAAACUGGGGAGGAGGCUAGAUUUGGGGGGCGGGCGGCUGUGUGUUGGCCACGGAGGGGACUUGUGGGAGAUUGCGCUUUGCCACUACAAGGCCUGGGUUUCACUAAUGCUAAGUAAGCUUAGCCAAAGUUGCAAG